rnacentral:rRNA from 1 species
UACGAAGGGGGGCUAGCGUUGUUCGGAAUCACUGGGCGUAAAGGGCGCGUAGGCGGACUUUUAAGUCAGGGGGUGAAAUCCUGGAGCUCAACUCCAGAACUGCCUUUGAUACUGAAGAUCUUGAGUUCGGGGAGAGGUGAGUGGAACUGCGAGUGUAGAGGUGAAAUUCGUAGAUAUUCGCAAGAACACCAGUGGCGAAGGCGGCUCACUGGCCCGAUACUGACGCUGAGGCACGAAAAGCGUGGGGGAGCAAACAGG